GAGCUGUGAUGAUAUUAGGCUUUAGCAAUGGUUGGGUCCAUCGCAUUUCUCUGAUUAAUCCAGAUGUAAUGCCAUUUGACUGAGCUC
rfam:Brassica napus, WGS project CCCW01000000 data, contig: 9272